AUAUAACUAUAUAAAAAAAUGUGAUGGAUAUGAAUGUACUUUUACAAUGCGUACAAGCUUUGAAGCAACAUAUACAAAGGAAUGCAACACAUUUUAGAGGGUAGAAUGGCAAAGUGCUCAACAUUUUAAGACACUUCAAGGAUAAAUUAGUAAAUUGAUCUAUAAAUAUUUUUCACCAAUUCCACCUUUACCCUUGUCUUAGUAACCCCCAGGCAAUUGGUAAUUGAAUCGUUUACUUUCAUCCACUUUGGCAUUUAUAUGCAUUGCAAAGAAAGGGGUCGGAGAGAAGGACAAGGAUAUGAAGAGAGGGGAGCAGGCCAAGAGUUCUCAGACAGUUUCUUUGAUUCAAUUUGUGUUGCCUAAUUGUUUAAUUUUGAUCUCGAAUUCAUCCUCAGGGUUUUUACAAUUCAAUAAAUGACAGAGCUUGUUUAAUUAUGUUGGUCGCCUACAAUCCCCAGUCAUCUCUGUCAUACUACACCCUGCAGUCACAAUCCGUCGCGGAUUAUACUUGUUCAUUUUUCUCGCUAAAAUGUGGAAGUUACAAGGGUAUGAUGAUGAUAUGAUGUACAACCGUUUAUGAAAUUGAUGCAUCGUGCUCUGCUCUUGUGGAUGAUGGUAUUCGUUUAAAGCAUCUUGCGGAUAGGAUAACUUUUUAAGACUUGUGACCGAGUUUUAUAGGUUUAUUUGGUAUUUAAAACAUUUAAUAAAUGGUCUCAUCGGUUUUUUUUUUGUAGUUGCAAUAUAUUGUUGUAUGCUUGUAUGUCUGAAAUUGGAGAUAUUUUUCUUGACCACAACAAGUUAAAAGAACAGGCUAGUGUAGUUUUGAGAUAAACCCUUAUUAACUUUUAUGAUUUCAA